rnacentral:rRNA from 1 species
GGUUGUGAUCAUACCAGCAGUAAUGCACCGGAUCCCAUCAGAACUCCGCAGUUAAGCGUGCUUAGGCGAGAGUAGUACUAGGAUGGGUGACCCCUUGGGAAGUCCUCGUGUUGCAACCC